CUUUUAGAUUUUUUUAUUGAUUUUUCCAUGAAAAAUACAAAGAGUCGAGUCCAGGGGUGGGGGCCAGGGAGGUCCCGGUCCCCUCCGAGGGGUCCCGCGGUGCCACGGUGGGGGCCCCGGGCACGUUUUGUCCCCGCGUUGGGCCCCCCAAAAAUGGGCCGGGGCUGAGGUGGGGACCCCUUAUUGCUACUGAAUUGGGGGUCCCCUGGCCCCCCCUCCCCAAAAUUCCAGGGCUGGAUCCCUGGAAGAGGGAGCGGGGGUCAGAGUUUGGGGGUGUGAUGGCGGAUCUGGACACGGGGGUCGCUCCUAAAUACUUAUAUUAAUAAUAAUUAAAACUACAAGAAGCUUCACACAGGCACGACACAAAAAAACCAGGAGCAGGGGUGGGUUUGGGGAAGGGUCUGGGGGGGAAAAAAGAGGGUCCUGGGGAGUACCAGGAUUGGGGAAAA